CUUGAGUCUGGGAGGCAGAGGAUGCAGUGAGCUGAGAUUGCGCCACUGCCCUCCAGUCUGGGAGACAGAGACCAUGUCUCAAAAAAUAAAUAACAAUUCACUUAAGAAGCAUUUAUUGAACAUCUGUAUGUGAAGCACUGCUUUAGGUGCUGAGACACAGUGGUGGGGGAAGAAACCCACCCUUGUCCUCAUGGAACCUACAUGGAAGGAUGGGCAAUAAGCAAAAUAACAAUCCAAACAAAAGAUCAGCCUCAAUGCUGGAAUUAAAUUUCUGGGUCCAUAAACUUUCAGUCAGUCCAGUCCAUCCUCUAAAGGACUGCAUUAUGACACCUCCCUAGAGCUUAAAUCUACAUUGAUUCACAAUUCAAAGGGGCUUCAUCAAGUCCCUUUAAUUCUGAGUUCAUUUCUUCACCCGUAAAUGGAGGUCAUAGCUUACUUUACAAGGGUUUUGGGUUUUUUGUUUAAUUUGAUUUGUUUGUUUGAAGACAGGGCCUUACUCUGUUGGCCAGGCUGGAGUGCACUGGCACAAUCUCAGCUCACUGCAGCCUCGACUUUCUGGGUUCUGGUGAUCCUCUGGCCUCAGCCUCCCAAGUAGCUGGGACUACAGGGACAUGCCACCACACCUACGUUUUUUUGUUGUUGUUGUUUUGUAGAGACAGGGUUCAUGAGGAUCAAACUAGAUCUCAUUUGGUUUUCCACAAAGAUUGGGACUAUGCUUCCUGGGAGUCACAGCAGAGGUCAGCUGCACCUGAUCUAAAGCCUUAUCCCUAGUUUUCCACUUUGCCAUUUUCUUGUUUUAGGUGAGCCCCAUGCCCAAUGCCCAGACUCUAGUAUUUUUUUCUAGAGAUGCACUGUAUUUUUUUUUUUUUUUUUUUUUUUGGAGACAGAGUCUCACUCUGUCACCCCGGCUGGAGUGCAGUGGCACGAUCCCGGAUCAUUGCAACCUCCACCUCCCGGGUUCAAGCGAUUCACCUGCCUCAGCCUCCUGAGGGAUUACAGGCACCCACCACCACGCCCAGCUCAUUUUGUAUCUUUAGUAGAGAUGGGGUUUCCCCAUGUUAGCCAGGCUGAUCUCAAACUCCCGACCUCAGGUGAUCCGCCCGCCUCAGCCUCCCACAGUGCUGGGAUUACAGGUGUGAGCCACCGCACCCGGCCAAUGCACUGUACUUUAAAAAUGCCUGUAUAAUACUGUAGAAUGAUACUUUUUUUAAAAACCGAGGCACAGUCUCAAGAGGUCCUGAGAACAUAGGCCCUGAAUGAUACUGUUAAGGGCUUAAAAACUAGAAUCCAAAGCCUGGCAAAUGCCUGACAAUCGGAAAUAAAUAUUGCUUGGCUGGGUGUGGUGGCUCACACCUGUAAUCCCAACACUUCAGGAGGCCAAGGCAGGCAGAUCACCUGAGUUCAAGAGUUCAAGAGCAGGCUGACCAACAUGGCGAAACCCCAUCUCUACUAAAAAUAUAAAAAUUCAGCUGGGCGCAGUGGCUCAUUCCUGUAAUCCCAGCACUUUGGGAGGCUGAGGCGGGCAGAUCACGAGGUCAGAAGAUAGAGACCAUCCUGGUUAACACAGUGAAACCUCGUCUCUACUAAACAUACACAAAAUU
rnacentral:lncRNA from 10 species